rnacentral:rRNA from 1 species
UGCGUAGGCGGUUUACUAAGUCAGAUGUGAAAGCCCCGGGCUUAACCUGGGAACUGCAUUUGAUACUGGUAGGCUAGAGUAUGAUAGAGGGGGGUAUAAUUCCUGGUGUAGCGGUGAAAUGCGUAGAUAUCAGGAGGAAUACCAGUGGCGAAGGCGGCCCCCUGGAUCAAUACUGACGCUGAGGUACGAAAGCGUGGGUAGCGAACA